GAGGAGGAUUCAAGGGGCCACCGACCGUCAUCUCACGUUUGGCGACCGAUGUGACACGAUCGUUACUCUGGACUAAGAGGCCAAGGCCCAUAGCCCACAUUAUAUACUGCAACCGCAAGCGCUCGCAGGUCCCAAGGAACCGUUCUGUUCGUAGGCGGCCAUAGGCCGCCCACAAAAGAGGGGUCACAAGGCCUGCCCAGAGCCGCCCUCAACCCGUUCACAA
rnacentral:misc_RNA from 1 species